GGCGGUUUAGCUCAGUUGGUUAGAGCGACGGAAUCAUAAUCCGCAGGUCCGGGGUUCAACUCCCUGAACCGCUA
rnacentral:tRNA from 1 species